rnacentral:rRNA from 1 species
UACGUAGGGGGCAAGCGUUGUCCGGAUUUAUUGGGCGUAAAGAGCGUGUAGGCGGCCAUACAGGUCCGUUGUGAAAACUCGAGGCUCAACCUCGAGACGUCGAUGGAAACCGUAUGGCUAGAGUCCGGAAGAGGAGAGUGGAAUUCCUGGUGUAGCGGUGAAAUGCGUAGAUAUCGGGAGGAACACCUGUGGCGAAAGCGGCGCACUGGACCACAACUGACGCUGAGGCGCGAAAGCUAGGGGAGCAAACAGG